rnacentral:rRNA from 1 species
GACAGAGGUGCCAAGCGUUUAGGCGGAAUCACUGGGCUUAAAGCGCGUGUAGGUGGCGGCCUAAGUACCUUGUGAAAUCCUGCGGCUCAACCGCAGAACUGCUUGGGUAUACUGGGUCGCUUGAGCCAUCCAGGGGCAACUGGAACAAGCGGUGGAGCGGUGAAAUGCGUAGAUAUCGCUUGGAACGCCAAAGGUGAAAACAGGUUGGCUGGGGAUGUGCUGACACUGAGACGGCGAAAGCCAGGGGAGCGAACGGG